ACGACCAUAUCACGUUGAAAUACCGCUUCCCGUACGAUCAUUAAAGUUAAGCAACGUUGAGUCUGGUCAGUAUCUAGAUGAGUGACCGCUUGGGAGUACCAGAUGAGGU